GAUGAACGCUAGCUACAGGCUUAACACAUGCAAGUCGAGGGGCAGCGGGAUUGAAGCUUGCUUCAAUUGCCGGCGACCGGCGCACGGGUGAGUAACGCGUAUCCAACCUUCCGUACACUCAGGGAUAGCCUUUCGAAAGAAAGAUUAAUACCUGAUGGUAUCUUAAGCACACAUGUAAUUAAGAUUAAAGAUUUAUCGGUGUACGAUGGGGAUGCGUUCCAUUAGGUAGUAGGCGGGGUAACGGCCCACCUAGCCAACGAUGGAUAGGGGUUCUGAGAGGAAGGUCCCCCACAUUGGAACUGAGACACGGUCCAAAACUCCUACGGGAGGCAGCAGUGAGGAAUAUUGGUCAAUGGACGAGAGUCUGAACCAGCCAAGUAGCGUGAAGGAUGAAGGUCUUACGGAUUGUAAACUUCUUUUAUAAGGGAAUAAACCCUCCACGUGUGGGAGCUUGUAUGUACCUUAUGAAUAAGCAUCGGCUAAACUCCGUG
rnacentral:rRNA from 1 species